AGUAAAUAGAUACCCGGGUAGUCCACGCCGUAAACGAUGUCGACUUGGAGGUUGUGCCCUUGAGGCGUGGCUUCCGGAGCUAAACGCGUUAAAGUCGACCGCCUGGGGAGUACGGCCGCAAGGUUAAAACUCAAAUGAAUUGACGGGGGCCCGCACAAGCGGUGGAGCAUGUGGUUUAAUUCGAUGCAACGCGAAGAACCUUACCUACUCUUGACAUCCAGAGAACUUAGCAGAGAUGCUUUGGUGCCUUCGGGAACUCUGAGACAGGUGCUGCAUGGCUGUCGUCAGCUCGUGUUGUGAAAUGUUGGGUUAAGUCCCGCAACGAGCGCAACCCUUAUCCUUUGUUGCCAGCGGUUAGGCCGGGAACUCAAAGGAGACUGCCAGUGAUAAACUGGAGGAAGGUGGGGAUGACGUCAAGUCAUCAUGGCCCUUACGGAGUAGGGCUACACACGUGCUACAAUGGCGCAUACAAAGAGAAGCGACCUCGCGAGAGCAAGCGGACCUCAUAAA
rnacentral:rRNA from 1 species